rnacentral:rRNA from 1 species
CCUACGGGUGGCAGCAGUGGGGAAUAUUGGACAAUGGGGGGAACCCUGAUCCAGCGACGCCGCGUGAGUGAAGAAGUAUUUCGGUAUGUAAAGCUCUAUCAGCAGGGAAGAAAAUAACGGUACUUGACUAAGAAGCCGCGGCUAACUACGUGCCAGCAGCCGCGGUAAUACGUAGGGGGCAAGCGUUAUCCGGAGUUACUGGGUGUAAAGGGGGCGUAGACGGCGGAGCAAGUCUGAUGUGAAAGGCCGGGGCGCAACCCCCGGACUGCAGUGGAAACUGUUGAACUGGAGUGCAGGAGAGGUAAGCGGAAUUCCUGGUGUAGCGGUGAAAUGCGUAGAUAUUAGGAGGAACACCGGUGGCGAAGGCGGCUUACUGGACUGUAACUGACGUUGAGGCUCGAAAGCGUGGGGAGCAAACAGGAUUAGAUACCCUAGUAGUC